rnacentral:rRNA from 1 species
UAGUGUAGUUAACACCUGCAUUAUUUGACGUUACCUACAGAAGAAGCACCGGCUAACUCCGUCGCCAGCAGCCGCGGUAAGUACGGAGGGUGCGAGCGUUAAUACGGAAUUACGUGGGACGUAAAGCGCAUGCAGGCGGCCGUGUUAAGUACAGAUGUAGAAACGGCCCGGGGACCGUUAACCGUACGGUAAGUUGCUAUUUAGUAAACGUGGCGAGGCUAGAGUCUUGUAGAGGGGGGUAGGAAUUUCAGGUGUAGCGGUGAAAUGCGUAGAGAUCUGAAGGAAUACCAGUGGCGAAGGCGGCCCCCUGGACAAAGACUGACGCUCAGAUGCGAAAGCGUGGGGAGCAAACAGGAUUAGAUACCCUGGUAG